rnacentral:tRNA from 1 species
GAGGGAAUAGCUCAGUGGUAGAGCACAUGCUUAGCAUGCACAAUGUCCUGGGUUCAAACCCCAGUACCUCCA